UCCCUAGUGGUCCAGUGGCUAGGACUCUGCCCUCCCAAUGCAGGGUCAUGGGUUCGAUCCCCAGUCAGGGAA
rnacentral:tRNA from 1 species